UAGUUAAAAACUGAACUAAUGAUAAAGAGAGAAAUGUCAUGAUGAGUUGUAGAGAGUAUCUCAUAGUUUCUCAAGUGAGAAACUUUCUACCUUCUUUCUCUUUCAUUUUUAAUAU
rnacentral:sRNA from 1 species